UGGCUGGGGGUGAGACCUCUCUGGUGCCUCAACACCCUGUAAGACCUCAGGACCUUUGCUUCACCUUGGUGGGGGAACCCUAAGAAAGGCUGAAGUUGAGUGUCUUGCUAAUCCAGCAAGAUGGGCAUUCAGAGUAGAAGAUCUGUUCUGAGGACUCCUGACUAAGAGCCAGCUUCUGAAACCGAAAGCCUUGUGAUUUGGAGUUGGACACAUCUGGUUGUGGUUUGCCCAGGUCAGCAGGCCUGCGCUAGUGACCUGGUUAGAACUUCCCCUCUCGGGGCCGCGUGUUGACUGCUGCAAGCCUGCAGGACAUCGGACACCAUGUGUGGUCCCCCACAUGAAAGGACCCUGUCUGCCGGGCCUCCAGGGAGUCAUCCUCAGAGGAAGCUGGGUUCCUGGAAAGCUCUAUGUGGAGCUGUGACCCCAGCCCCAUGGAGCCACGCUGAUCCUGGCAGGUGAUGCCCUCAGCGUCCAUCACAGGUGGCCACGGCAAGCAGCCACAGGGAAUGGGGUUAUCUGCUAGACUUCCUACCUGCUGCGGGAGGGAGCUCGUGUUUCUAGCAGAGUGCCUAGAGAUCUGAGCUUCACAGAAGAUUGUGACAUGCUUCGGGCUUUCUCGUAUUGAGAUCCGUGCAACAGGCCAUGCCUCUCUUUUCCCUUUGACUACCAGAAAGCUCAGAACCAAAUAAGUGGUUCAGUUAUAACAACUGACUUCAUCUUUGUGGUCCAUGCUCUUAUGUUUCUCUCUCUCAUUCUGGCAAACUUUUGCUGCUGUUUCUAUUUUCUUGCCUCUUGGUCUCGGCUGAGCGAUUCAGCCCAGGUCCUGCAAUGCUCUUCCUGGGUCUGAAUCCCAGCUCCACCAUUCACUAGACAUGUGGUCGGGUUAUUUAAUCUUUCUGUAACUCGGCACCUCAGGUGUUAAAUGGGGGUAAUAGCUGCAUCUACUUCAUGGGUGGAUUACAAGGAUUAAAUGAGAUAAUACAUACCAAGGGCUUAGAACAAUGCAUGGUACAGAGUAGGCAAUAGAUGUCAGCCUAAUUCCCCACUCUUUUAUUAGCACUGUACGUGAAUUUGGUGUGAGCUGUAAGAAGAAUAUUAGAAAAAAAAGAUAAUUUUUCCAUUAUUUUUCAAAACUCUAAAGAGCUGGCUGGAUCAGAGAAAGAUACUAAGAACAAGCAUUCCUGGUUGUCAGGCAUUGAACAACCCACUUCACACUUUGUUUCAUUCUUACAAAACCCCCAAGAUGUGAACGUUGUGAUUAUACC